AGCUCUUUCCAAUGCACUACUGAUUAAGGCAGCUGUAAGAGUGAGGGUUUUGAGCCUUGCAGGUUUUCUCUGGUUUGCAAGCAGAGGAGUUACUAUACUCCUUGUGUGAGGCAUUUAGUGCUAUCAAGUGGCAGUGAACCAGGGCUUUGAGAAAGAAGAAACAGAAGAUGAUGGCAAAUUAACAAAGCAGCAGAGGAGCAUUUCUAGACCAAAGAAGGCUGAACUAGGUUUGAAAGGGCAAUGAUGAGAAUCCACAGACUAGACCCAAGGGAUAAAGCGCUUUUGCUUCCUCAAGAACGGCCUUGGAAAAGGACAAGAUAAGGGAGGCGAAAGGGAAGGAUGUUCCUCUGAACAAGACUGAAAUACUACGCUGAAGGUUUUUUUAAGUUGUUACUACUGAUAUGGUUGGGUAAUUGGAGUCUGUGUACUCUGUCCUGUGUUAGUCUGGCUGCUUGGGAAGAUAACUUUUGUCCUUCUUUAACCUGCUGUUUCUGGAACUGGGGGGCGUGGGAAGAACCUGACAUGACUCCAGGUAUUAUGACACAGAAAGCUAUGCCUUCACUGUGUCUUCUGAUUAGUCAGAAAGAGACAAUACUACAGAGAAGUUCAGAGAAAAACAGAAAUGACUAGGGGGCUUCCUGGACUGACUUAUGAGGAAAAGGUGAGAAAGCUGCUGUGCAUCUGUACAGUUCUGCUAAGUGAUUAAUGGGGAAUGUGAUGAUAACAUACAACUAAUUGAGGCUUGUAUAUGCCAAAGAGAGGAAUUAGUUCUGUGUUGUGUGAGGAGGAUGAGUAACGAACACAUGCUACUGUCCUGAAGAUGGCUGUAUGAUGUACCCAUAGCAACAGGAGUUGUUUGGUGAAUGAGAACUGCAUGAUAUACUUGGUUUAGGAAUACCAAAUAGUACUAAAAAUCUGUUAUUACAUGGUGAUGCAAAUUAACUUUUCUCACAAAGAAAAACACUUCAUCCCCUCAUAGCUUCAGAUACGGGAUACUGUCUUGCUCUCAAGUUAUUAAAAAUAAACUGGAAGAAAGUGAAUCAGUGCCACGUACUCUCUUCAAGACAUCAUACUCAAGAGGAGAAUUGUACUGCUCCAGCUUGAAUAUUCUCUCCUCUGCUAUUAAGGAGAGGAAAGAACCCGCAGAAGUAUUGCUUUUCCUCAUAGCAAAGGAGGUUAUUAGUAUGCCAUCCUGCUUGAAAGAGCUCAAAUUUUGAAACAUGUCAUAACAAAGAAAACAAUACCAUGGUGCAAGAGCACAAAUAUUAUGACAGUGUGUACUCUCAGUCCUUCCUUAUACACACCCCCUCUGGCUCUGGAAAAGAGGGUAAAGGCCUAGUCCAUCCAGAUGUAUGGAGGUUAAACUUCCUGAAGGCAAUAACAAUGUUUAGCUCCUAUGCAAGGCUGGAGACUAUGUAAAUUACUAGUUUUUGAAACUGGCAAUCUAUAUAACUUAAAUAAUGAUGCAUUAAUAUUGGCUUGAAUGUCUAGGAAAGGCCAGGCUCUCACUAGUCCUCUGACUGAUUUUAUGACAGGGUAUUUGGUCUUCAUAGAUGUCUCUUCUGAAGCUGGUUUCAAGACUUCUGAGAGUGUCCAUGAUGUCAGGACAGUUUAUUCAAGAAGAAAAUGUUUCCUCUCCAGAACAUAAAUGAAAGAUGGAGCCAUAUUCACCCCAUUAUUAAAGAGCUAUUGCAGUACUCAGCAAAGUUGCAACAGGAUACAAUCACCCUUGCCAAAAUCACAGCUGUAGCGUGUUGAAUUUGGCUGGAGGUGGAUUUCA